GACGAACGCUGGCGGCGUGCCUAACACAUGCAAGUCGAACGGAAAGGCCCUGCUUUUGUGGGGUGCUCGAGUGGCGAACGGGUGAGUAACACGUGAGUAACCUGUCCCUGACUUUGGGAGAUCUUCAGGAAACUGGGGCUAUUACCGCAUAGGAUCUCUUGCCGCAUGGUGGGCGUUGGUAAGUUUCGGUGGUUGGGGAUGGACUCGCCGCUUAGGAGCUUGAUGGUGUGGUAGUGGCUGACCAAGGCUAAGACGGCUAGCCGGCGUUGGAGGGUGACCGGGCUCAUCGAGACUGAGAUAGGGACAAGACUCCGACGGGAGGCAGCAGCGGGAAGUAGUACAAAAUGGCGGGGAGCGUGAGGCAGAAGCGGCGCGUGCGGGAUAAUGGCGUACGGGUUAUGAACCGAUUUCGCCUGUAACGAGGCGUGAGUGACGGUAAUGGGUAAAGAAGCACCGGCUAACUACGUG
rnacentral:rRNA from 1 species